GAGAGGGAGUAUACGUGACACUGGUGAUGGGUCUGUUACAAAUUAUAUACUUACUCAUGAUAUACUUCCGCCAGAGAUGCUGUAGAGUGUAUAACAGAGACAGGUUUCCCUGAUCACAUGACCUGAUCAGGAAGAACUGAAGAGGGAAAAACUCCAGGCCCUAUUGAUAAGACAUCACUUGGGUUCAGAAAACUCCUGGCCCUCAGAUGCUGACACGGCAAGAUGCAACAGAAUGGGACGGUGACCUUUCCUCCAUCCUUCUCCAUUUGAUUCAUCCUUCAUCACAAGGCCGCAAAAGACCAGGCAAGAUGAAUCAGUAUCCAGGAUCACCUUGAUGCGAUUGACCAGAGCCGCCAAACAUAUCUUAUUGCAGUCGGGACCAGGAAAAGCAGCAUCCAUGCUUACUUCAUCAUCCUGGACAAGCGAGCCUUACUUCAUCAUCCUGGACAAGCGAGCCCUGCACGUCAACGAGCGCUCUUGGUGCCUUCGAUGAGCUUUUCAAGACUCACUUUGCUUUUGGUACUGCUUACAAUACAAUGCUGCGCAACAUAUACACCUUCAGACAACUGUAUACAACCUAGACAUUGGGAAGGUUAAGGUGACUCCAACGGUUGCUGAGCUCAAAGCUAGACUCCUGCAUUAAUGCAGAUUAACUUAUAUGUUUUGUUUGCCAUGCUAGUACCAACUUGCUCGUGAGGCAUGGAAUGUGCCCUUAUAGAACUGACUAAAAUGUGGUCAAGCAGAUUGUUGUCAUGUAUUUUGUCAAAUUUUCCUCUAGACUUAACUUGGAUGCUAAUACAGCUGUUGAUAAUCA